UCUCCUACGGGAGGCAGCAGUAGGGAAUUUUCGUCAAUGGGCGCAAGCCUGAACGAGCAAUGCCGCGUGAACGAGGAAGGUCUUCGGAUCGUAAAGUUCUGUUGAAGGGGAAAAAGAGCGGAGAGAGGAAAUGGUCUACGAUUGAUAUUACCCUUCGAGGAAGUCACGGCUAACUACGUGCCAGCAGCAGCGGUAAUACGUAGGUGGCGAGGGUUAUACGGAAUGAUUGGGCGUAAAGGGUGGGUAGGCGGCCUGCUAAGGCAGGAGUGGAAGGCACCGG
rnacentral:rRNA from 1 species